UGUCCAGUAGCACCUUAAAGACCAACUAAGUUUGUUCUGGGUUUAAGCUUUCGUGUGCAUGCACACUUCUUCAGAUACCUUAUCUUAUACCAGAAAGCUUAUACUCAGAACAAACUUAGUUGGUCUCUAAGGUGCUACUGGACC